rnacentral:rRNA from 1 species
UACGAAGGGGGGCUAGCGUUGCUCGGAAUUACUGGGCGUAAAGGGCGCGUAGGCGGAUAGUUCAGUUGGGGGUGAAAGCCCGGGGCUCAACCUCGGAACUGCCUUCAAUACUGGCUAUCUUGAGUACGGGAGAGGUGUGUGGAACUCCGAGUGUAGAGGUGAAAUUCGUAGAUAUUCGGAAGAACACCAGUGGCGAAGGCGACACACUGGCCCGUUACUGACGCUGAGGCGCGAAAGCGUGGGGAGCAAACAGG